rnacentral:rRNA from 1 species
UUAAGUUAUUAAGGGCGCACGGUGGAUGCCUUGGCACUAGAAGCCGAUGAAGGACGUUACUAACGACGAUAUGCUUUGGGGAGCUGUAAGUAAGCGUUGAUCCAGAGAUUUCCGAAUGGGGAAACCCAGCAUGAGUUAUGUCAUGUUAUCGAUAUGUGAAUACAUAGCAUAUCAGAAGGCAGACCCGGAGAACUGAAACAUCUUAGUACCCGGAGGAAGAGAAAGAAAAAUCGAUUCCCUGAGUAGCGGCGAGCGAAACGGGAAGAGCCCAAACCAACAAGCUUGCUUGUUGGGGUUGUAGGACACUCUAUACGGAGUUACAAAAGUAUAUAUUAGACGAAUCAUCUGGAAAGUUGAAUCAAAGAAGGUAAUAAUCCUGUAGUCGAAAAUAUAUACUCUCUUGAGUGGAUCCUGAGUACGACGGAGCACGUGAAAUUCCGUCGGAAUCUGGGAGGACCAUCUCCUAAGGCUAAAUACUCUCUAGUGACCGAUAGUGAACCAGUACCGUGAGGGAAAGGUGAAAAGUACCCCGGAAGGGGAGUGAAAGAGAACUUGAAACCGUGUGCUUACAAGUAGUCAGAGCCCGUUAAUGGGUGAUGGCGUGCCUUUUGUAGAAUGAACCGGCGAGUUACGAUUUGAUGCAAGGUUAAGCAGCUAAUGUGGAGCCGUAGCGAAAGCGAGUCUGAAUAGGGCGUUUAGUAUUUGGUCGUAGACCCGAAACCAGGUGAUCUACCCUUGGUCAGGUUGAAGUUCAGGUAACACUGAAUGGAGGACCGAACCGACUUACGUUGAAAAGUGAGCGGAUGAACUGAGGGUAGCGGAGAAAUUCCAAUCGAACUUGGAGAUAGCUGGUUCUCUCCGAAAUAGCUUUAGGGCUAGCCUCAAGUGAUGAUUAUUGGAGGUAGAGCACUGUUUGGACGAGGGGCCCUUCUCGGGUUACCGAAUUCAGACAAACUCCGAAUGCCAAUCAAUUUAACUUGGGAGUCAGAACAUGGGUGAUAAGGUCCGUGUUCGAAAGGGAAACAGCCCAGACCACCAGCUAAGGUCCCAAAAUAUAUGUUAAGUGGAAAAGGAUGUGGCGUUGCCCAGACAACUAGGAUGUUGGCUUAGAAGCAGCCAUCAUUUAAAGAGUGCGUAAUAGCUCACUAGUCGAGUGACACUGCGCCGAAAAUGUACCGGGGCUAAACAUAUUACCGAAGCUGUGGAUUGUCCGUAGGACAAUGGUAGGAGAGCGUUCUAAGGGCGUCGAAGCAUGAUCGCAAGGACAUGUGGAGCGCUUAGAAGUGAGAAUGCCGGUGUGAGUAGCGAAAGACGGGUGAGAAUCCCGUCCACCGAUUGACUAAGGUUUCCAGAGGAAGGCUCGUCCGCUCUGGGUUAGUCGGGUCCUAAGCUGAGGCCGACAGGCGUAGGCGAUGGAUAACAGGUUGAUAUUCCUGUACCACCUAGUAUCGUUUUAAUCGAUGGGGGGACGCAGUAGGAUAGGCGAAGCGUGCUAUUGGAUUGCACGUCCAAGCAGUAAGACUGAGUGUUAGGCAAAUCCGGCACUCAUAAGGUCAAGCUGUGAUGGGGAGAGGAAAUUGUUUCCUCGAGUCGUUGAUUUCACACUGCCAAGAAAAGCCUCUAGAUAGAUAACAGGUGCCCGUACCGCAAACCGACACAGGUAGUCAAGAUGAGAAUUCUAAGGUGAGCGAGCGAACUCUCGUUAAGGAACUCGGCAAAAUGACCCCGUAACUUCGGGAGAAGGGGUGCUCUUUAGGGUUAACGCCCAGAAGAGCCGCAGUGAAUAGGCCCAAGCGACUGUUUAUCAAAAACACAGGUCUCUGCUAAACCGUAAGGUGAUGUAUAGGGGCUGACGCCUGCCCGGUGCUGGAAGGUUAAGAGGAGUAGUUAGCUUCUGCGAAGCUACGAAUCGAAGCCCCAGUAAACGGCGGCCGUAACUAUAACGGUCCUAAGGUAGCGAAAUUCCUUGUCGGGUAAGUUCCGACCCGCACGAAAGGCGUAACGAUUUGGGCACUGUCUCAACGAGAGACUCGGUGAAAUCAUAGUACCUGUGAAGAUGCAGGUUACCCGCGACAGGACGGAAAGACCCCGUGGAGCUUUACUGUAGCCUGAUAUUGAAAUUCGGCACAGCUUGUACAGGAUAGGUAGGAGCCUUUGAAACGUGAGCGCUAGCUUACGUGGAGGCAUUGGUGGGAUACUACCCUAGCUGUGUUGGCUUUCUAACCCGCACCACUUAUCGUGGUGGGAGACAGUGUCAGGUGGGCAGUUUGACUGGGGCGGUCGCCUCCUAAAAGGUAACGGAGGCGCUCAAAGGUUCCCUCAGAAUGGUUGGAAAUCAUUCAUAGAGUGUAAAGGCAUAAGGGAGCUUGACUGCGAGACUUACAAGUCGAGCAGGGUCGAAAGACGGACUUAGUGAUCCGGUGGUUCCGCAUGGAAGGGCCAUCGCUCAACGGAUAAAAGCUACCCCGGGGAUAACAGGCUUAUCUCCCCCAAGAGUUCACAUCGACGGGGAGGUUUGGCACCUCGAUGUCGGCUCAUCGCAUCCUGGGGCUGUAGUCGGUCCCAAGGGUUGGGCUGUUCGCCCAUUAAAGCGGUACGCGAGCUGGGUUCAGAACGUCGUGAGACAGUUCGGUCCCUAUCCGUCGUGGGCGUAGGAAAUUUGAGAGGAGCUGUCCUUAGUACGAGAGGACCGGGAUGGACGCACCGCUGGUGUACCAGUUGUUCUGCCAAGGGCAUAGCUGGGUAGCUAUGUGCGGAAGGGAUAAGUGCUGAAAGCAUCUAAGCAUGAAGCCCCCCUCAAGAUGAGAUUUCCCAUAGCGUAAGCUAGUAAGAUCCCUGAAAGAUGAUCAGGUUGAUAGGUUCGAGGUGGAAGCAUGGUGACAUGUGGAGCUGACGAAUACUAAUAGAUCGAGGACUUAACCAU